UGAGGCCGUUUGAAAAAGGAGUACUGAUCACAUCAUCAGCUUCUAUCUAAAAUUAUAUAUAUAUAUAUAUAUAUAUAUAUAAUUUUAGAUGAUGUGAUCAGUACUCCUUUUUCAAACGGCCUC